rnacentral:lncRNA from 1 species
UUCUCAGCAAGGCAAUUUUACUUCUCUAGAAGGGUGCGACUCGCAGAUGGAGCAAUGGCCAGAGCACACCUGAACAAGGGAGGGGAAGGGGUUCUGAUUCCUGACACAGGUAGCCCCUACUGAUGCGUCGUUCCCGUAUUGGCUAGGGUUGGACUGCACAGUCUAAGCUAAUUCCGAUUGGCUACUUUAAAGAGAGCAGGGGUAUGAGCCAGAGUGGCGGGGUGAGUAGUUUGGUGGGAAGGGUGGUUACAGAACAGGUGACUCAGGAUGAUUCAGGUCAGAGCAGGUGACCAGGGGUGACUCAGAAUGGAGCAGGUGGCCAGGGGUGACUCAGAAUGGAGCAGGCGGCCAGGGGUGACUCAGAAUGGAGCAGGCGGCCAGGGGUGACUCAGAAUGGAGCAGGCGGCCAGGGGUGACUCAGAAUGGAGCAGGCGGCCAGGGGUGACUCAGAAUGGAGCAGGUGGCCAGGGGUGACUCAGAAUGGAGCAGGUGGCCAGGGGUGACUCAGAAUGGAGCAGGCGACCAGGGGUGACUCAGAAUGGAGCAGGUGACCAGGGGUGACUCAGAAUGGAGCAGUGUCUGUGGAAUUCACCGGUGAUCCACCUGCCUCAGCCUCCCAAAGUGCUGGGAUUACAGGCGUGAGCCAUUGUGCCCGGCCAAGAACAGCCUUCCAUUUCUACCUUGCCUGUAGCCUCCCAAACCAAAAUACGGGUCUCAACACCUGGUCCUUGAUCUCCUUGACUCCCGUUGGACCCAAGAAGUAUGGCUUCUCUCCCCUUUCCUCUGGUGGAUGGCCCUGGACACAACCCACCUCACACUAACAGAGACAGAGGGGUGGUCCAAGGGAAGUGAGUGAGAAGUUACCUGCAGAAGAGGGAACUUUUGAGAGAAGGAACCAGAGCAUUUAACUCUCUUCUCAAACUACCGACUGUCUGGGGCGGUGUGCCAUGAUGCCCCGGGGGAAGCUCCGUGGAUCUGGAAGGCAACUCGGGACAUCUGGUCUGGCCAGCCCACCCACGUAAUGCAUUCAGCAGACCUGCCCCCUACACAGAGGGCUGAGCCUCUGAGCUCCCACAGGCUCUACCUUAUAAGCAAAGACUGAAGAGUCUUUGUUCAUAAGGAAGAGAGAAGAAAGAAAAGAAGCAAUUAAACAGAAUUGCAGGAGCUCCUAGAGUCUGUCAGUUUCU